GGUUCCAUGGUCCAGGGGUAAGAUGGCCGCUUCGGGUUUGAAGCACACCCGUUACAAACGUAAUGGAUGCGGCCGACACGGGUUCGAGUCCCGUUGGAACCC